rnacentral:misc_RNA from 1 species
UCUCCGUUGGUGAACCAGCGGAGGGAUCAUUAUAGGACUCGCAAGACUCCUUACACCCUGUGAACCUUACUGUAUACGCGUUGCUUCGGCGGGUCCGCCCGCCGGCAGCAUACCACAUUCUGUUUCUCUGCGUUGGCAUCUCGAGAAAAAAGCAAAUAAGUUAAAACUUUCAACAACGGAUCUCUUGGUUCUG